GAGCGGAGCCAGGGAGAGAAAGGGAGAGAAAAGUUUCCCCGCAGUCUUCAUUGGCAGACUUCUCCGGGAGCUGCUUCCCUGGCCCGCGGAGCUCACCCCCAAUGAAGGAAGGCGGGAGGUCCCCUUUCUUCAGACCCCAAAGAAUCCAGUUUUACAAGACCAGAAAUGCCAUGGCCAAGUCCUGGCAGAAAGAGAGGCUGAAAUGGAGGACGGCACCUUCCAUAUAAGCUCCUUGGGUCCCGAGUCAGCACCAACUUGGUAGAAAAAGCAACCAUGAAGCCAGAGAGAGAGCCGCAGGAGGCGAGAGAGCGCCAGACCAGCCGGAGAGGAACCUCGGGGAGAAAUGCAGAGAAAGGAAACGGCAGAAGGUCCCUGAAGAAACGCGGCCGAGGGCAAGAGAGGCACUCACAGACAGAGGUUUACAUAUUUUUAUUUAAAGGACUUUUUAAACAUGGAGGGCUUGAGGAAGAAAAGGGAAAAUUCAGGGAAGGAGUGGGGAGCGAGAAUUAUCCAAGCCACAGCAAGAACGCCCCAGAAGGGAAGAAUGGCGCUCGCUCGGCAUGGAGCAGCUUCGUGGGUCAGGGCUGUCCUACAGACGGCUGGGCUGGGUCCCCGAGCCCCCACUCCCACCCUCUCCAGGCCACCAGGGCUUCCUGGCUCUCCUUAUCAUCUUCAUCUUUAUGACGAAGCUUGUUAACAAGACCAGCAAGCUGGCCGAGCAAAUCUAUCUCAGCCACUCGGGCUCAGCCAAGCAGCAUCCGGUGGGGUGGGGAGGGAGGGGGGGGGGGACUGGCAAGGCACUAAUUAAUUGAUUCCUUUGGACAGUAAAAUAUGGCCGCGUCUACACAGAACCCAUGGACUCAUAAACAAUAUCUCUGCUGGGUGUGAGCACACUGCUUCUCCAAGAAUUUUCCAUAGGCAUGUGUCAUGCAGUCCUGGAUCUUUAGCUGCUAAAGAAAGACCCACAUGGGACUAAUUUUUAGGGGGCCACAACAGAGUUAGCUCAGUGCCAGGAAAUGCUUUAAGUUACUACUGCCUCUCAAAAAGCAUUGAGAGUGGGUUUUGUUGGGGGGAAAAAAAGCUGGGAUUAUGGGAUAUAAUUUCCCUGCUGUCUUUGUAGACUCCACCAAGGUUAAGGUUGGGAACCGGAGCUGAGGCAGGCGCUGGACAGGCCAGAACCAGACCCUGGGCAGCUGGGAAGGAGUGGGAUUGCCCUGGGAUUUGACAAGGGCAUAGAAGAAGAGGUUCAGUGUUUGCUUCAUGAUGCUCCCUAGACUUAGAUGAAAAGAAUUUUAAAAUUUAAAUGGAAAUAACUUCAUUUUCAGGAGCCCAGCACAUACCUGGAACUGCCUGUUAGCUCAACCUGCCUGUUACAUACUUCUCUGGUUGCUGCAUUUUCUCUUCCCCCUUUCCUACCUGGCAGCCCAGAGGAACUUUAUAAUAUGUUUAUAUUAGGUCCAGGAGAACACGUCCUGAGGCACAGGGGAUAACCUAAUUACAUAAUGCUAAUUCCAUACACCAGUGAUUAUGCAGCCAGACCCUGUGCAAACAGGGCUUAGCACUCUAAAUAUAGACCCUGACUUCAGACAAGAGAGGCAACAGGGAGUCAGGGCGAGGAGACCACUUAUAUAAAUAAUGCAUGUAGAUAUCGAAGGGUUUUUCAAGUACAGCAAAGAGGCUAACCCAUGGAGAUGGUCAUUGCCAACGCCUGAUCUUCCUCCCACUACUGUUUUAAAGAUUGCCUGAGAAGUGUAUAUUAUAAAUACGAUGUGUGAACCCAAAGAAUGCUUUUCAACUUAUAUUUGGUACACACCAUGUAUGCAAACAUAAUUUACAGAAUAUAUUUUUUUUCAUACACUGGGUAGAUAUGCACUUUGUGUGUCUAUAAUAAUAGGAUGUAUUUUAAUGCAGUUUUAUGUGGAUAUAUUACUAUCUGGAUGUAUUUUCUGGGCACUGAUUUUCUAUGCUCUAUGUAGUGAAAUAGAUGCAGGACUGUAAUUCCCUUUGUAGAAUAUGUGGAAGCGUGCUGUUUGUAAAUUAAUUUUACGUGUGGUGGAUGUACAUGCUUUAUGUAAUCUUUUUCUGGGAGAUUGCUUUAACCAUACAAUAGCUGGAAUUGCCUCUGUAUGUAUAUUUUCUAGAGAAAUGUAUUUUCCAUUCCCAGAAUGUAUAUGUAAUAUAGAUUGUAAUCUAUG